GUCUACGGCCACGCCACCCUGAAUGUGCCCGAUCUCAUCUGAUCUCGGAAGCUACGCAGGGUCGGGCCUGGUUAGUACUUGGAUGGGAGACCACCUGGGAAUACCGGGUGCUGUAGGUG
rnacentral:rRNA from 1 species